ACGAUCUACUAUGCAGACGGCAUGGGGUCCCAGGACCCCGGGGAGGAAGCCCGGUGAGAUUCCGGCGCGGUCCCGCCACUGUGAGCCGGCCCGGCUUCAUGUCCGCAUGAUCCCGGUCCGGUGAGUCAGGAACUCCCGCCGUCCAUACGACCACCCGG
rnacentral:ncRNA from 24 species